GUCAAAGCCUAGAGAAAAAUGCGCAUUCAGAAGUGGGCUGCCAUCCUGCUUUUUCUGAAGUGAACAGCUGCUGGGUAUUGAAACCAGCCCUCACGGUUGGGUCCCUGCCACCAUGGCAACACUCUGGUUUCUGAGCUGGAGUGGCCAAGGCACAAUGGGGUGGUUCCAUGGCCCAGAAGCACUCUAGCUACAGAUUAGAAUGAUGACAAGAGUAAUACCUUCCUAGUGAAGAUGACUUUUAUUUCAGGACUAUAUUAAGUUUCCCAACUUCUGUCAUGAUAUAGUCCAAAGAGAACCUGGACCACGCAGACAUCAAACAGAACAUGACACUGACCCAUUCUAUCAGUGACGUUGUGCUGAUUGCACAGGACAGAUGAGAGGCUCGUAUACUAGAAGUCUUGUCAUAUGAUACUUCAAAAUCUGUGAUUCCAUGAAGCCAAGAGUAGCUCUUCAACAGGAAAUGAAUGAGUGCUUCAGCUUCUGAUCCCAUUAGUAAGAAAAUACAGUCUUAUGAGCAAUGAUGGAGCUGCAUCUCUUAGGGGCAUUUGAUUCCCAAGAGACCAAAGAGCAAAGAGAAUGUCAAUUUAAAAAAAUCAAAUGUUUCCAUGACUUAGCUAUUUAACUGCUUUAAAAUGAAUGAAUGCUGCUUCAAGUUCUUUCAAAUACCCCACAUCUUGGCAACAACGAAAGGAAUUAACAUGAAGAAAAUUUACAAUCUUUCAUCACAUCGAACAAUGUCCCACAUUUGAAAAGUUCACAGCACAGAUUUCUGGUUACUGAAAGAAAGGAAAGACCUUCUUUGGAUUUGAAUAAACAGAUGGACUUUCUUCUCCUUUUUCUUAUAGUGCCCGAUUUGUGUAAAGGGAGGUGGGAAGAAAACAUCUUAGCUUAAAAGAGUGUCCUAUAAAAUAAAAGGUUUCAUACUUGCCUAUAGCUAAUCUCUGAAGGUGGUUACAAAAGAGGAUUUCUGAAACAUUUUAUAUGCAAUGGCCCAGACAUUUGCAUAAGUGGUCAAACUUUCAAGAUGACAACUUAAAAAUAUAAUACUCCUUUUGGACAAGCUUGUUUUUAAAAUAGCAGCAUCAUUAACUUUGGCAAAUCCAAUUCUUAAAUAUCCUUUAAAAUAGUUGAUAAAAGAAAGAAGGUAUCAGAACUAUAUAAUGGUUGCACUGCAUUUUUUAAAACCUCUUAUUUUGAAAUAAUUUUAGAAUCACAGAAAGUUGCAAAUAUAGUAUAAGGAGUCCCAUGUGCCCUACAUGAUGACAUCUUAUAAAGGGAUAGUAUAAUAUCAAAACCAAGAAAUUGACAUUGGCACA
rnacentral:lncRNA from 1 species